CGUGCGAUGGUUGUCGUCAGCUCGUGCCGUCGAGGUGUCGGGUUAAGGUCCCACUAACGAGACGCAACCCCUACCCUUUACGUUGUCCACUCAGGUAAUGCUGGGGACGUCUAAAGGAACUAGCCUACGCAAGUAGUGAGGAAGGCGGGGAGUGACGUCAAAUCAGCACGGCCCUUACCGUCCAGGGCGUACACACGUGCUACAAUGGCCGAUACAGAGGGCAGCUACCUGGUGACAGGAUGCAAAUCUCCAAAGUCGGUCUCAGUUCGGAUCGGAGUCUGCAACCCGACUCCGUGAAGUUGGAUUCGCUAGUAAUCGCGCAUCAGCCAUGGCGCGGUGAAUACGUUCCCGGGCCUU
rnacentral:rRNA from 1 species